GACGAACGCUGGCGGCGUGCUUAACACAUGCAAGUCGAACGGAAAGGCCCUGCUUUUGUGGGGUGCUCGAGUGGCGAACGGGUGAGUAACACGUGAGUAACCUGCCCUUGACUUUGGGAUAACUUCAGGAAACUGGGGCUAAUACCGGAUAGGAGCUCCUGCUGCAUGGUGGGGGUUGGAACGUUUCGGCGGUUGGGGAUGGACUCGCGGCUUAUCAGCUUGUUGGUGGGGUAGUGGCUUACCAAGGCUUCGACGGGUAGCCGGCCUGAGAGGGUGACCGGCCACAUUGGGACUGAGAGACGGCCCAGACUGCUACGUGAGGCAGCAGUGGGGAAUAUUGCACAAUGAGCGGAAGCCUGAUGCAGCGACGCCGCGUGCGGGAUGACGGCCUUCGAGUUGAGAACCGCUUUCGCCUGUGACGAAGCGUGAGUGACGGUAAUGGGUAAAGAAGCACCGGCUAACUACGUG
rnacentral:rRNA from 1 species